ACUCCUACGGGAGGCAGCAGUAGGGAAUCUUCCACAAUGGACGCAAGUCUGAUGGAGCAACGCCGCGUGAGUGAAGAAGGUUUUCGGAUCGUAAAGCUCUGUUGUUGGUGAAGAAGGAUAGAGGUAGUAACUGGCCUUUAUUUGACGGUAAUCAACCAGAAAGUCACGGCUAACUACGUGCCAGCAGCCGCGGUAAUA
rnacentral:rRNA from 1 species